UACGUAGGGGGCAAGCGUUGUCCGGAAUUAUUGGGCGUAAAGAGCGUGUAGGCGGCUAUUUAAGUCCUGCGUGAAAUCCUGCGGCUCAACCGCAGACGGUCGUGGGAAACUGGAUGGCUAGAGUGCGGGAGAGGAGAGUGGAAUUCCCGGUGUAGCGGUGAAAUGCGCAGAUAUCAGGAGGAACACCGGUGGCGAAGGCGGGUCUCUGGGCCGAUACUGACGCUGAGGAGCGAAAGCGUGGGGAGCAAACAGG
rnacentral:rRNA from 1 species